AAUUUUUAAAAAGUAAAAUUUAUUGUUAUCAAUAGAGUUUGCUCACUGAGAAGUUGGUAUCUAAGGACACACCCUCUAAAACCAUACCGACCUCAGUUAUCUUGGGACUAGUGUGCACCUGAGGGUAUUCUAUGUUUAAAUCUCACUGCCUAAGGCUAGUCAGAUCCUACUGUUUCUUACUAAAUUUCACAUCAGGUCCUCAGCUCCUUGUGAAUUUUCUAUAGUAACUAAAGUUCAAACAUAUAUGUCUAUAGAAAUUUCCCUUUCCAUUAGUUUUUCUGAAUCUCAUUCCUAUUCAGAUGUGAACUCUAAUGUGAUGUUAUUAGCCCCUAAGUAGUUCUGUCCUUUUCUUCUGGGCUACAAAUGGUUUGUGCACUGUUUAAUUUUGGGUAGAUAUCACCCACCCCCAUCCCCAUGCAGUUUCACUUAUUUUUUCAAAGGUAUCAGAAAUAUUUGUGUAAGAAUUUAAAGAGUGGGAAAGGAGAUGCCUUUUGCAUAAAAGACUACAAAGAAAAGCUGGGUGGGGCUUUGACGCAUAGCUAAGAAGGCUUUGGGACUAGUCCUGCAAGUAGAUUGAGUUCCCUUUUGGGAUAAUUUUGAGGCUUCCUCUUUUUCUUAUGAAAAUAAAGUUUUGGGAAUUCUUAGGUCCCACAGGUUUGAUCAUGGGGAAAUAGACAGCACAAACUCAUUGUGUCUUAAGAAGGCCAAGAUAACGUCAUAAAAUUCUUAUUCUUGAAAAAAACAAAAUAGAAUUUCCAAUUGAAAGAAGAUUCUUCCUCCAGGGAUGCCACUUUUGGAGAGGCAUAUUGGCAGCUGAAAGUAUUUUAGGACAAUUGAUGGACAGGGAACAUGUAUUUGAGGAUGUUUGAAGGUAACAUUUCUCUGUAGGAUAACGGUGUCUGUGGGAAUUCUAUCCAAAAAUACUUCUUAAGAAGAAAACCUUUAAUUCAGCAAGGAUUUACUAAAAUAUCCACUUGGUACCCCCAAUGACACCCUAAUUGGGAAAUAUUUACUGAGCGUUUCUUUGUGUUAGGCCCCAGGCUAGGGGUCAAGGGAUGCAGUCUCUGACCUUGAGGAACUCUGCAGGGUAGAGGUGAGGGGCAAGUAAACCAGCAGGUACUAGACAGUGAUGAGGGCAUUGCUGAGAACCUGUCAAACCAAUUAGUGCCUUUACAUCAGAGAAAGAGCAGUCUACUCUUUGAGGAUGCUCAAAAAAAAAGCUCCAUAGGUGUCAUCAAAUGAGAUAAUGGGCUAUUAAACAUACCUAUGUUUUAUGCAUAUCCUUACCUUGACUUGGGGUAUCUUCCAAGCCAGACUCCUGAGAGCAAAUCCUUAUCACACUGUUCGAUGAGAUAGGUAUUGUUAUUACCCCUACUUUACAGGUUAAGAAACUGAUACACAGAGGGGAUCAGGAACUUGCCCAGUAUUAUGCUACUUGUGUGCAGCGUGGGGCCAAGGCCUGGAUUGGGACCUAGCCAGUUUGACUCCAGAGCUCUCAACCUUACUGAGCAGCCAGGGACCACUCAGUGAAAAGGAACCGUAGUGUGAUGUAUAAACGUGACUGCUUUCGCAUGCAGUUGACCUGUAAGUUUAAGAUUUUAAGCAGCAGGGAGGAAAUUUCAGUUUUGACUUAACGCUCUGGUAUUACAAAUGAGAUAAUACUAAGUUUUUGAUUAAGUCCACAGAAGCUUGUCUUAGUGUUAAACCUUUACUGCCACUGGGAUACAAAAGGAGCACCUUUGCAGUCAACAAAUGGGCAUUUUGAGCAUCUGAGUGCUUUUUUGAAUGCGUAGAGGCAGCUUCCCAUUUUACGUUAGUCUGAAGAUGCCCCUGAUGAGUAAUUUCCAUUUAGUUCCCGCUUUCUGCCCAGCAGAUCUGCACACACGUCACCACCACCACCCCUGUCCCCAAUAACAGUCCUCUCAUUUCAGUUUCUUAUCUACUUCAGAGCCCUCAUUUUGGAGCCCUUGCUCCAAGAAGUAAGUGGCCUUCAUGCUUCAGCUACCCAAGGUCCCCUUGCCCUGUUUAUCCUUUUCCUUUUUGGCUCCUGCAGACCCUGGGGCAGGGUGACCUUAUUAAAGACUCUGUGAAACAAAGUUGUCUGUCUUCUCUUCAGAGACACCUCUCCCCUCUACUGGUAAUUCAAAAAGGAACUUUCUCCUUAUCCACUCCUUCCAUCUCCCUGAAGAAAGGAUGGGUUGGAGUAGUAAUACGUGGUCAUUGCUCGUGGUGAGCAGCCAGUUACCAUACAGUGAUUGGAUAGUGCCAAAUCUCAUCCCACCUCCCCGCCUUGAACCAGCUGAUCUGGUUUCAGUGUUCUAUGCCUGGCUUCUCAGAUAGAGGAAGGUGGGCAUUUAAAAAGUGCUCGUGACCCUCCCCUCUGUCUCUUUGCAACUUUGGCUUUGUUAUCUUCCUUCUUAUCAUUUUUCACUCCCAGCUCUGCUGUUUCCUUUCCUUCUAUUCUCUGGAAUCUUCCAAGCAAGCAGCUGUAACUUUGUAUGUCCUCUCCACCCAGCCCCCUCCCCCGCCCCCAUGGAAGAGGAGGAGAGAGCACCCUCUCCCUGUGGGGUUAGGCCUCGGUAGCUGUUGUAACCUGAGAAAAGGAGGAAAAAGGCCAGGCCUUUUGAGCCAGCAGUGAGCUCCUUGUGGCCUGCCAGAGGAUAAGAGCCUUGCUCACUCAGCGCCCUCCCUCUCUUCUUUCCCCUCCCCUGCUGCAGCAGGGCCCUCCCCCAUCCGCACACACGGGCUGCUGGGUAAGUGGCAAGAUGGCUCCCCUGCAUGUCUCCGGCUGAUCGCCGCCGCUCCGCCAAUACAAUAGAGCCAGCCACUACCAGCAGCCUGGCCCUCUUCCUCCUCCUUCUCCAGAGAGACCAAUCCAGCUGAAUUCGGGGUUUGCCAAAGGGAUAAACAGCACUUCCAGGGGGAGAAAAAAAAUCAUGUUAUCAGAAAGCAAAGAAGGUUGGAAUAAGGGAGUGGGAGAAACUGGGCGAAGGCCGAAUGUAAGAACAAUUGCUACACCUCUGAGCAGGUAAAAGUGGCCUGGUGCUUCUUUGAGCUUUCAUACUCUGGCAGUUUUUGUUUUUCCUUUUGGAUUAGAGGGGGUCCCUGUUGAAGCUUGAACCCUCACCAGCCUUCCUCUCCCUGCAGCCCUCACCCCCACCAUUUCUCCAAUCCUGGUGUCUGCAGACCCUGAGGGUCAGUAGGCUUUUACUUACUAAGCAGUUGAUUAAACCCAAGGUUGGGAUCAUCUGCCACAGCCCUGGCUGUUCUUUCUCCUCUUUUUAAGGAAUCAGGCUUCCCUUAGUUUCUCAUGUAGUUUGGUUAAAUAAAGGUGUCUGCGCCCAGGUCUAGGGAGGCCACGGGGUUGUGGGCAAAUCACAGUUACUUUUGAGGGACUUUGCAGAGAGGGAUGUUUCUCCUCUUCAUAUAGGGGUACUCCGGUGGAUUACCUAAGAACAUUGGAGCCCUGACCCCACACAUCACAGCUUUAUCCCAUCUGGGCAGUGAGUGAAUGUGGUUGCUGUGAUCUGUGCUCUUUCCCCUAGGAAAACCGUUUCCUGGUUUUCCUGGGGGGACAAGGUCUCUAGUCUGAUGUAAAAAGCAGCCCUCCCAAUCCCACCCAAGUGACGAGGCAUGGGGGUUUCCUUGACCCAAAACCUAACGUCUUGCUCUCUCUUCCCCUUGGUUCUUUCCUGCCCUUUCCUCCCAACCUCUCCCCAU